rnacentral:rRNA from 1 species
CCUACGGGGUGCAGCAGUGGGGAAUAUUGGACAAUGGGCGAAAGCCUGAUCCAGCCAUGCCGCGUGUGUGAAGAAGGCCUUCGGGUUGUAAAGCACUUUCAGUGGGGAAGAAAGCCUUGGGGCUAAUACCCUCGAGGAAGGACAUCACCCACAGAAGAAGCACCGGCUAACUCCGUGCCAGCAGCCGCGGUAAUACGGAGGGUGCGAGCGUUAAUCGGAAUUACUGGGCGUAAAGCGCGCGUAGGCGGUCUGAUAAGCCGGUUGUGAAAGCCCCGGGCUCAACCUGGGAACGGCAUCCGGAACUGUCAGGCUAGGGUGCAGGAGAGGAAGGUAGAAUUCCCGGUGUAGCGGUGAAAUGCGUAGAGAUCGGGAGGAAUACCAGUGGCGAAGGCGGCCUUCUGGACUGACACUGACGCUGAGGUGCGAAAGCGUGGGUAGCAAACAGGAUUAGAUACCCUUGUAGUC